rnacentral:rRNA from 1 species
GACGAACGCUGGCGGCGUGCUUAACACAUGCAAGUCGAACGGAAAGGCCCCUUUGGGGGUACUCGAGUGGCGAACGGGUGAGUAACACGUGAGUAACCUGCCCUUGACUUCGGGAUAACUUCAGGAAACUGGGGCUAAUACCGGAUAGGAAUCCUUGCUGCAUGGUGGGGGUUGGAAAGCUUCGGCGGUUUUGGAUGGACUCGCGGCUUAUCAGCUUGUUGGUGGGGUAGUGGCUUACCAAGGCUUUGACGGGUAGCCGGCCUGAGAGGGCGACCGGCCACAUUGGGACUGAGAUACGGCCCAGACUCCUACGGGAGGCAGCAGUGGGGAAUAUUGCACAAUGGGGGGAAGCCUGAUGCAGCAACGCCGCGUGCGGGAUGACGGCCUUCGGGUUGUAAACCGCUUUCAGCAGGGGCGAAGCUUGUGGUGACGGUACCUGCAGAAGAAGCACCGGCUAACUACGUG